CAAAGAACAUCAUUAGCUAACCAAGGAAAAGUAUUGGCAAGAGGGGAACAGACUUAGCACUGUUUUUCCAAGACUGGGAGAUUUCUAUUCCCCUCAAGAUUCACUGUCAGGGAUGACCUACAUCUGGGAUUAAAUGACAGAGCACCUGGUGAUGGAUUCAGUGCCAUUCUUCCUGUGUUCUGUAGCGGGAAACUCUUCCUUCCUCCUCUCAAAGGCAAGGAAUUUUCAAACUGAGCAAUAUUUCCGGACUCCUGAUGCAUGGAUGCAGGAAGAGACCCUCUACUCUGUGCAGGAACACUACCUGGAGAAACAAGAGGGCUGAAGUCAAUAUCCAGCAGCAUGUAUGGCUUUAUACAUGGAAAAAUAUCUCCUAUUUAAUUCACUUGAGCCUGAGGUGUCAACCUGGAGUAACAUGGUGAAACAAGCAGAGCUACAGGCAGAGCUGGAAAGGGGAACAAGCAAUUGGGAGUCUCAAGCAAAUUCUAACAAAUUAUUUCAUCUGAUGACUUUGGAGACAAAAAUGGACGUCUGAAAAAUUGCCUUUAAUGCAAACUGAGGCUUUGAAAUCCGCAGCAGUACUUUUGCAGAGCAAAGAUCUUGUUUGGGCAGUAUAUCUUGAAUUUAAGUACUUGCAAUGUAAUGACUCUUGAAGAAGAUACUUGAAAAGAAAUGAAGUAAAAUAAAAAGGAAGACAGUAAACCAUGACUAUAAGUCUGACAUGAAGGACAUGGCAUCAUAAGGUAUGUCAAGAAAUUGAGAAAAUUAUCCGGUUUUUAAAGAUGGUAGUUUAAAAAGACCUUUUGCAGAAUAUUAAAUGACACUGAGACAGGCUCUACCCCGAAACAGACCCUCCUUAGUAUUUUAGGAUGAUGGAAGAAAACAACAGGCAUAUUAAGAAAGGGUUCAGUGAGGGAAAUGCCACUUGCCCUGUAUGUUUCCAAUUGCCCUAUUGCAUCAAUGCUUUUGGAAUAGAACAAAAAUGAUUUCACUAGUAGAAAAGUGCCAGAACAGGGGGAGGCAGCUUCACAGGAAAAAAGAAGUGGUGAAAUACUGUGUUUGGAAGGUGAUGAUAUUUUCAUUCCAGUCUUAUACUGCAAAGAGUGAGAUUCAGCUAAACACUCCGUUCCAUGGAAAAGCUGAGCAAAACCCCUGAUCAUAAGUAAUAGCGUCUUGUUAAAGUGCAAAAAAGGGGUAUACCCUCAUCUGAAAACAGCAUGUUCUUCCUCAUCCAAGUUGUUGCAUAUGUAGAUCUUGCUGAUUUCAGUGACAUUUUAGAAAAUUUUUGGUUUAUUUCUUUUCUUCAGAGUAUACUAGCAGGAUGAACACAGAUUUCUCUCUCCCAACAAGAAUCGGUUGCUGAUGCAGACAGGGACAGGCUCUAUCACAGGGAGUUUUUUCUCUCACUCCUUCUUGCUACACCUGACUGAUCCUGACCACAGGAAUUGUGGUCUCCUCAGACCUGAGUUUCAUGUGUUAACUGCACAAACAAGAACCAGGUCAGUAAUGGUUACUCUGUGAGCUGUUUAAGUGAAUUCGUUUUGAUUGGAGGAAAUAAAGGUGCAGUUUCCACAAGAAGCAGUUCACACAGCAAGAAGAAAACAAGCAAUCCAGCCACUAAGUCUGAUGGACAGUAAUUUCCCAUAAAGGAGCAGAGCUGAGUGAACGAGGGACGGGUGGCCCUUCCACUUUUCCCACCACCACAGCUGGGUUCAGACCAAGGUAGCUACUGGCAAUCAUAUCACCCACUGUCUCUUGCAGAAAGACCUGCACUUUAAAAGCAUGAUUUGGGGGUUUAAAGCUACCCAAUUAGGCAAUUUGGGGGAAUUAUUUUUUUAAUACAAUGAUUAUACCUGAGUCACUGAAUAACAGAAAAUUCAUAUCUUCUAUGUUAUUUCUAUGCCACAAAUCUCUUUUUUGCUACCAUCAGAAAUGUUCAGAGAGCUAAUGUGGUGUGACAACAGUCCAAAUGAAAUUAAACUGCAAACUGUCAUAGUAGCUUGAGGUUGACAAGAAUUUCUUCCCAGCUGGAAACUGCAGAGGGAGAGCUUCUCAGAUCACUGGGUCAGCUCUAUGCCCCAUUAAACAACACUGACUGAUAUCGGUGAAGGUUUAUCAAUCACCAGAGUCCUACAGGCUGUGAAGAGAUUAGGAGUGGUACAGUUCAGUAUGGAAAAUACAAUCCCUGGUGGGUUUUCUGCAUCCCCCAGUCCAUGCUUUGCUUCGUAAUGAAUUUUUAAUAGGAGUUCAAGAAAAAAAGAUGGAGAAGGAAUGAGGGUGCAUUUCUGUCUUUUCUCACUUAAUCCCUUCUCUAAUGCUUUAGGAAAUUACUGGCACAAACAGAUUAUCAGAGUAACUUCUCUGUAAUUGCAACUUGUGUAGUAGUGAAGGCAUUAUACUUUGGUAUGAAACAUAUGCUUUCCUUCUGUUACCACAGCUGUAUGUGGCCAUAACUUUGCCCUGAUUUCACAUGAUGAAGACAGAAAAUUCUGCAGUGUUGUUCUAUUUCACCUGGUCAUAAUGGCUAAAAUGAAUGUAAAUCCUGUUACCUAAUGAUUGAAAACAAAAAUUUUCCUUCUGCUGUUUCCAUAGGUAAUCUGUCAAUGGAUUUGAUUUGGCAUCAGUAAUAAGUUAGGAC